CGCGUAGGCGGCCAUUUAAGUCUGGAGUGAAAGUCCUGCUUUUAAGGUGGGAAUUGCUUUGGAAACUGGAUGGCUUGAGUGCAGGAGAGGUUAUCGGAAUUCCCGGUGUAGCGGUGAAAUGCGUAGAGAUCGGGAGGAACACCAGUGGCGAAGGCGGGUAACUGGACUGCAACUGACGCUGAGGCGCGAAAGUGUGGGGAGCAAACA
rnacentral:rRNA from 1 species